GGUUUCCCUUUACGAAUUGUAGUUUAAAGAAGUGUUUUCUGUUGAGGUUUUGGUAAAAGUUCUUUGGAAUAGGACAUCAUAGAGGGUGAGAAUCCCGUAUUUGACCUUUACUUUCAACUUUGUGAUACACUUUCAAAGAGCCGGAUUGUUUGGGAAUGCAGUCCAAAAUGGGUGGUAAAUUUCAUCUAAAGCUAAAUAUUGGCGAGAGACCGAUAGCGAACAAGUACCGUGAGGGAAAGAUGAAAAGAACUUUGAAAAGAGAGUUAAACAGUACGUGAAAUUGUCAAAAGGGAAGCGUUUGACACCAGUGUUGUUUUUCUGAAAAUCAAUUAAAGAACUGUUUAUGCUAAGUUGUUUAGACUUUAUCAGCUAACUGUUUAGUUUUGAGCUUUUCUUU
rnacentral:rRNA from 1 species